rnacentral:rRNA from 1 species
CCAAUAGCGUAUAUUAAAGUUGUUGCAGUUAAAAAGCUCGUAGUUGAAUUUCGGGACCAAUAUGUCGGUCGUGCUUCGGUACGUACUUGCGUUAUUGGUUUCUCCCUUCUGAAGAACCAUGAUGUCAUUAAUUUGGUGUCUUGGGGAAUCAGGACUGUUACUUUGAAAAAAUUAGAGUGUUUAAAGCAGGCUCACGCUUGAAUACAUUAGCAUGGAAUAAUGAAAUAGGACGUUUGAUUCUAUUUUGUUGGUUUCUAGGAUCGACGUAAUGAUUAAUAGGGAUAGUUGGGGGCAUUAGUAUCCAAUUGUCAGAGGUGAAAUUCUUGGAUUUAUUGAAGACUAACUACUGCGAAAGCAUUUGCCAAGGAUGUUUUCAUUAAUCAAGAACGAAAGUUAGGGGAUCGAAGACGAUCAGAUACCGUCGUAGUCUUAACCAUAAACUAUGCCGACUAGGGAUCGGAUGAUGUUAAUUUUUUAAUGACUCAUUCGGCGCCUUACG